GAUGAACGCUGGCUACAGGCUUAACACAUGCAAGUCGAGGGGAAACGGCAUUGAGUGCUUGCACUGAAUGGACGUCGACCGGCGCACGGGUGAGUAACGCGUAUCCAACCUUCCCGUUACUGCGGGAUAACCUGCCGAAAGGCAGACUAAUACCGCAUGUUCUUCGAUGACGGCAUCAGAUUCGAAGCAAAGAUCCGUCGGUAACGGAGGGGGAUGCGUCUGAUUAGCUAGUUGGCGGGGCGACGGCCCACCAAGGCGACGAUCAGUAGGGGUUCUGAGAGGAAGGUCCCCCACAUUGGAACUGAGACACGGUCCAAACUCCUACGGGAGGCAGCAGUGAGGAAUAUUGGUCAAUGGGCGGAAGCCUGAACCAGCCAAGUAGCGUGCAGGAGGACGGCCCUACGGGCUGUAAACUGCUUUUAUGCGGGGAUAAAGUGAGGGACGCGUCCCUUUUUGCAGGUACCGCAAAUAAGGACGGGA
rnacentral:rRNA from 1 species